rnacentral:rRNA from 1 species
UACGAAGGGGGCUAGCGUUGCUCGGAAUCACUGGGCGUAAAGGGCGCGUAAGCGGCUUGGUAAGCGUGCGGUGAAAGCCCGGGGCUCAACCCCGGGUCGGCCGUGCGAACUGCUGGGCUGGAGCACUGUAGAGGCAGGUGGAAUUCCGGGUGUAGCGGUGGAAUGCGUAGAGAUCCGGAAGAACACCGGUGGCGAAGGCGGCCUGCUGGGCAGUAGCUGGCGCUGAGGCGCGACAGCGUGGGGAGCAAACAGG